AAAACGGCCCUUUUCAGGGCCAUCAAUUUUGAAUUGUACACAAUU
rnacentral:ncRNA from 1 species